rnacentral:misc_RNA from 1 species
AAGUCGUAACAAGGUUUCCGUAGGUGAACCUGCGGAAGGAUCAUUACCCAUUUUCAAAGGACUGCUGUUGCCUUAACCAGUGGCGGCAGUCUACUUUGAUUCUACCCAUGUUUUUUGCGCACUAUUUGUUUCCUUGGUGGGCUUGCCCACCAAUUGGAUCCCCCAAAACCACUUGCAAUUUCAGUCAGCGUCAGUAACAAUGUAAUCAAUUACAACUUUCAACAACGGAUCUCUUGGUUCUG